GACGAACGCUGGCGGCGUGGAUUAGGCAUGCAAGUCGGACGGUAGGGCUUUAUCGUAAGAUAGAGUUUGAGAGUGGCGAACGGGUGAGUAACACGUAGGAAUCUACCCUUAAGACGGGGACAACCCAGGGAAACUUGGGCUAAUACCGGAUGAGAGUGCGAGAGAUUGCAUUUAAAAGGAUGGCGAAAGUUGUCGCUUAGGGAUGAGCCUGCGGUCUAUUAGUUAGUUGGUGAGGUAAGAGCUCACCAAGGCGAUGAUAGAUAGGCGGCCUUAACGGGUGGUCGCCCACACUGGGAUUGAGAGACGGGCCCUACUCCUACGGGAGGCAGCAGUGGGGGAUUUUGGACAAUGGGCGAAAGCCUGACCCAGUGACGCCGCGUGCAGGAAGGAGCCCUUCGGGGUGUAAACUGCUGUCGUGUAGGGAGAAGGGUACUAAGGUGAACAAUCUUAGUACUUGACGGUACUACAGGAGGAAGCCCAGGCUAACCUCGUGCCAGCAGCCGCGGUAAUAUAGCGU
rnacentral:rRNA from 1 species